GUGCAGAAAGAAAAGCAAAAACCUGAAGCCUCUGCAUACAAGGCCAUCUGCCAGGAGCCAUCGAAGUGCAUCCAGAUAGAGGUAUGAGGCACCAAAUGAAGACUCACCAAAAAGAACCGUACUGUUGCUGUGGCACAGCACAGAGAUAUCACAUUCUUGUUAUUGUGGUCAAGGUGGAGAUAUUCUUAAAGGCCCUUGGCACACUGACAACCAAAUGAAUCGAUUUGUAAUCUUCUACUUCCACCACUUUCCUGAGGAAUCUUCAGCUCAACCUAUAGGCCCCAAACAUGAUAAACCAACCAUGCUGUAACACUACACAUCAACAUCAAGUUAUAUGGUAACUACAAAUCUCUCCUGCCCACACAGUAUGUGCCAGUCUGGCCAUAUGUAGAGCAGGAUGAGAUCUUCAGGAGAUGUGUGUCCCCAUCUUCCCCUAAUGGCUGCGUUUACUGGCAUGUAAAUGCUAGCAGACUGGUAGAAAUGUCUUUUACUGUGAUCUAGCACAAAGCCUGCCUUCCUCUUCUGAUUUCUGAUCAGUAGAUACAGAAGCAUUAACUAGCAUUUUCCAGAGUUACUGUCAAUAUAAAAAUCCUCAGCUUUCCCCACACAUUUUAACACUUAUAAUGGAGGAACAUUUGCCACAGAAGAUAAAAACGAGAACAAAAAGAAAAUGUUUAUGUUAAUGAAUACACAGUUUCUAAUGAUCCAGCACAAGAACCAAAGCCCCACAAAAUGAUGACAAGAAGUGUGAGGCACAGGAGUUAUUUGUGAGAAAGAAAAUGAGUCUAAAGCAGCAGCCUUCAUCUAUGGAAUGACAGGACCUUCCUGCUGCUCUGAAUGACUUCAGGAAGUGUUUGUGUGUACACACAAGUACACAUAAUUUUGGGGCUCUUUUUAACUGACCAUUGAUUGCAGUAUCUUGUUCAUUCCUACUGUUCAUUAACAUGUGUAACCUGCACAUGACUGUGAAAGAAUGCAGAUGGCUCAAUUAGAAAAUGCUAGAUCCACUGAAAAAAAUUAGCUCGCUUACAGUCAUAUCUUAUUCAAUAUUUUAGAACCUCUAACUUGAAAUGAGGACCCCAGGACAUACUCAAUACUUCCUAAGUGCCUGACUACCUAUGUUUCACAUAUUUGUGUUGCUCUGCUAAGACACUGUAAUGUUUUUAAAUCCAGGAGCAGUCUUUAUGAAAGACUUGUUUUACAGUGCAGCUUAUUUUUAGCGCUCCUAGAUUUUUAUUUUUUUUUAAUGGCUUUAAAAUCAUUACAUGCACACAGAUGCAACUGAAAGUUAAUUUUCAUAAAGCAAGGAAUUAAGAGGAGUUUGAACAAGUACUAUCUGUACUCUCUAAAACAUACAGCAGGCAGAGGCCAAAACAAGCAGUGGUCACAUUUUGAAAUCAGUAUUUCCAAACAGCUCCAUUUACAUUGCUCUUUCUGUGUAAUAACAUAAGAUGAUAUC